rnacentral:rRNA from 1 species
ACGGACGAGGCCCUUCGGGGACCGAGUUAGUGGCGAACGGGUGAGUAACGCGUGAGGAACCUGCCUUUCAGUGGGGGACAACAGUUGGAAACGACUGCUAAUACCGCAUGAAGCAUUUAGGGGGCAUCCCCUGAAUGCCAAAGAUUUAUUGCUGAAAGAUGGCCUCGCGUCUGAUUAGCUAGUUGGAGGGGUAACGGCCCACCAAGGCGACGAUCAGUAGCCGGUCUGAGAGGAUGAACGGCCACAUUGGGACUGAGAUACGGCCCAGACUCCUACGGGAGGCAGCAGUGGGGAAUAUUGGGCAAUGGGGGAAACCCUGACCCAGCAACGCCGCGUGAAGGAAGAAGGCUUUCGGGUUGUAAACUUCUUUUACCAGGGACGAAGAAAGUGACGGUACCUGGAGAGAAAGCCACGGCUAACUACGUGCCAGCAGCCGCGGUAAUACGUAGGUGGCAAGCGUUGUCCGGAUUUACUGGGUGUAAAGGGCGUGUAGGCGGAGAUUCAAGUCAGGAGUGAAAACUAUGGGCUUAACCCAUAAACUGCUUUUGAAACUGAAUCCCUUGAGUAUCGGAGAGGCAGGCGGAAUUCCUAGUGUAGCGGUGAAAUGCGUAGAUAUU